CGGCAGCAUGUUGAAGCUCCAUCGAUGUGGUCAAUCUUUCCGCUCCAGGAUUUGUUAGCACUCAAAGAAGAUUAUACAACGCGGCCUGCAGUGGAAGAGACAAUCAAUGAUCCAACAAACC